GGCCAAAACAAUCCUAGCUCCUCUCUGAGU
rnacentral:piRNA from 1 species